AACAAAUGUCCCUUUCCCUCCCUGGAGUUUUAGACUCUCUAUGCUUCUUGUUGACCCAAACUUGCAACCACUGAACCGCCACAGGCCUGAUUCAAUGUUAGCAAAAAUUUUAACAUGAUAGAGGAGGUAGGGGAGGUGGGGCUGGGUUACCCUUGUGCUUAAAAAGUCCUUAUUUAAUUCCAUACUAACUAAACAAUAUGGGAUUGCUUGACGUAAGGACUAGAAGUUGACAAUAAAUAUCCAGUGCAAAAGAAUGUUUGAGAAUCAGUAUGCAGGAAAAUUUUUUUCUUAUAUCAAGAGGAAGAAAACAUAUAUAUUUCAUUUUAGCAUUUAAACUGACUAGAUGUAGACCAG
rnacentral:misc_RNA from 1 species